rnacentral:rRNA from 1 species
UAGGGAAUCUUCCACAAUGGACGCAAGUCUGAUGGAGCAACGCCGCGUGAGUGAAGAAGGUUUUCGGACCGUAAAGCUCUGUUGUUGGUGAAGAAGGGUAGAGGUAGUAACUGGCCUUUAUUUGACGGUAAUCAACCAGAAAGUCACGGCUAACUACGUGCCAGCAGCCGCGGUAAUCGUAGGUGGCAAGCGUUGUCCGGAUUUAUUGGGCGUAAAGCGAGCGCAGGCGGAAGAAUAAGUCUGAUGUGAAAGCCCUCGGCUUAACCGAGGAAUUGCAUCGGAAACUGUUUUCUUGAGUGCAGAAGAGGAGAGUAGAACUCCAUGUGUAGCGGUGGAAUGCGUAGAUAUAUGGAAGAAUACCAGUGGCGAAGGCGGCUCUCUGGUCUGCAACUGACGCUGAGGCUCGAAAGCAUGGGUAGCGAACAGGAUUAGAUACCCUGGUAGUCCAUGCCGUAAACGAUGAGUGCUAAGUGUUGGGAGGCUUCCGCCUCUCAGUGCUGCAGCUAACGCAUUAAGCACUCCGCCUGGGGGAGUACGACCGCAAGGUUGAAACUCAAAGUGAAUUGAC